UACGGCNUGGCACUACCAGGGUAUNUAAUCCUGUUUGCUCCCCACGCUUUCGCACCUCAGCGUCAGUAUCGAGCCAGUGAGCCGCCUUCGCCACUGGUGUUCCUCCGAAUAUCUACGAAUUUCACCUCUACACUCGGAAUUCCACUCACCUCUCUCGACCUCAAGACUGGGAGUUUUGGAGGCAGUUCCGAGGUUGAGCCCCGGGAUUUCACCCCCAACUUUCCAAUCCGCCUACGUGCGCUUUACGCCCAGUAAUUCCGAACAACGCUAGCCCCCUCCGUAUUACCGCGGCUGCUGGCACGGAGUUAGCCGGGGCUUCUUCUCCGGGUACCGUCAUUAUCUUCCCCGGUGAAAGAGCUUUACAACCCUAAGGCCUUCAUCGCUCACGCGGCAUGGCUAGAUCAGGGUUUCCCCCAUUGUCUAAGAUUCCCCACUGCUGCCUCCCNUANGGGGCGGGGGCGGCGGGACNGGCNCGGGGCGCGGCGGNCGNC
rnacentral:rRNA from 1 species